CAAAAUGUAUGUAACCCCACACCAAGAGACUUCUCUUCAGGCUUGAUACACCUAAAAAAAUAAGUAAAUUCACAAAUAAAAUAAAAGUAGAGAUUUAAAUACUGUCAUAGUUUUUUUUUUUUUAACUUUUUGUAUGCUGGUAACACACUGGGCACUAGAAAAUUGUUUUGCAUACUUGGUUAUUCAAGGCCUAAUAAUCCAGUAUACAGCCUGCACAGGACCUCUACUUCUGAUCCUUGGCAUUUUACCCAUCAUUUUUUGCUCAUUCAUUUCUAUCAGAGAGUUAUCAAAGAAGAAAAUAUUUCAUAUCAAUUUCUACCCCAAUAUCUACUUAUUGAAGUGGCAGUUCUUCAUUAAACCUUCAGCCUAAAACAAAACUAUGCAACCCUUGCUGUAUUUAAAUUAUUUGUAUUGACAAAAUACAGAAAAGCCAAGACUUUAUAUAAAUAAAUGUAAGGCAGAAAGAAAGCAAAAAUAAAAAUUUUCAAAGGAAUAUGACAAAGAAAUCCAAAGCAAACAUAUUUUAUGUGAUUUGGUAUCAUUUUGAGUCACACAGAUCUCUCCAUUCUCUCCAAAAAUUCCCCCACUUUUGCACUGUUGCCUGAAACUCCUAUAUGUAGAAAUGAAGACUAUAAUUCCCCAAUGGGGCCCUUUUGGUGUCCCGCUCACUCCGGCAUCAACAUGGCUAACUCACCAAAGAAUUCACUUUGAGAGUUCCACUGUAUUCCCUUCCCUGAUUAACUCAAAGCUGAGAAAAUAAAAGCAGCUUUCUUCACAAAAGCAUGCAAUACAUUUUUAGCAAAAAUGUCAUCUUAUUGGCAUUUUCUCAAUGUAAGUGUUUUACUAAAUUUGAAAACCUCAUAGUUUGAUCUGGACAUUAUCUUCCUGACACAUAGGUUAGUUAGACAACAUCAAUGAUUUUACUCAGAAGAAAGUUAAGAAAGCCACGAGACCCAGCAUGAUCCUCUGAGUCCCAUGGUUUCCAUUUAAUACAGAAAAUAGGGCAUUACAUUUUCCUGAAAAAUUUUUCUUUCCCCUCCAUCUCUAAUAUACCACUUAAUGAUCUCACAGAAGCAUGAAAUACUAAUAGCAAAGAAAUUAUUUAAGCAGUUGAAACAGUUGAAACUGUUCUAUGAACUCUAUCAUUGAUUGGCAUUGAUAGUAACAUCAAUUUCUAGAAUCCAAGAAUCAGAAGAAUUAGCAUGCAAAUCAUGGGAAAAUGCUGAGAGAAAUUGAAAUUGUUCUUUAAACUGGCAGAGUAGCAUUGAUGUUGCGCUCCUCUACCAUCAUGGUAAGAGAUCCAGGAAGAUUCCACAAAAAUAGAGACAAACACAAGUGUAUUAAUAAAAGCCUCAGGGUUAAAUUCUACAAUAUGGUCCUGGCAAGAGGUGGGGGAAGAAAGUAGAGUCGUGAAGAGAGCCUGAUUAGGUACUUGUUUUAUUAGGGGAUAGAUACUAAAACUGAAAAGUUUUGGAAUUGAUAGUAAAACAUUAAUGUAGUUAAGAAUUUCAAUAAUCAGGUUAACCAUUUGAAAGAUAUACAGCUUUCAAAGCAGCAGAAGAAUAUCCAGUAUAUACCAUAGUUUCCCCCUUAUCUGUGGUUUCACUUUCUGUGGUUUGAGUUACCCACAGUCAACCGCAGUCUGGAAGUAGAUGGUCCACAGGCUGACACAUCACUGGAAGAUCAAAAGCAGCCAAAUGCUACGAUCCCUGUAUCACAGUGCCUACAUCAUUCACCUCCUUUCAUCUCAUCAUGUAGGCAUUUUAUCAUCUAACAUCAUCACAAAAGGGAAAAGGGCAAGCAUUUGUAUUCUUUCAAGAUAAGUACGUGAAGGGAUUUGAAAGGACAGAAAAGAAAAACAUUGCAAAAUCUUAUUGCAAAAUCAAUGAGUGAUCAAAAAGUGCCAAAGAUUACUUGAGUCUGCCUUGUUAAGAAGAAAUGUCAGUGCCUAUAUUGUUUCAUAUGGAUGGUGCCUCACCAAGGGCCACCACACUGGCCUCCCUAGGUUUCUAAAAUCCCCAUCAUCAAAGCCAUCCACGUUGAAAGUAUUAUCUCUAGAAAGCCACCGUUCAAAAGCCAUAUCCAUUUUUGAAAUGAGAAGAAAGGAAGAGCCUUCUCUCCAUGUAAGGAAUCUUCAAAUCACUCCUAACUCUGC